UUUCUGUCACUCCUCCCCCUCCCCUCCUCCUCCUCCCCUUUUCUGUCACUCUUCCUCCUCCCCUCCCACUCUCCCCUCCUCCCUCUCUCCCCUCCUCCUCCUCCUCUUUUCUGUCACUCUUCCUCCUCCCCUCCCUCUCUCCCCUCUACCCCUCCCCUUUUCUGUCACUCUUCCUCCUCCCCUCCCCUCCUCCCUCUCUCCCCUCCUCCUCCUCCCCUUUUCUGUCACUCUUCCUCCUCCCCUCCCUCUCUCCCCUCCUCCCUCUCCAUUGGUUCCUUCAUGAUGCGAGGCUAAUAAUAACUCUUGAGUGACCCUCUGUCGGUCGGUGGGUCGGAUAGGCAGCCCCCAGGGCUCUCUCUGUUUCUGUCUUGAGGGCUGGUGUGUGUUGUGCUAGUCACCAGGCAACAGACUAGGAACUAGGAACUAGGCAACAGACUAGGAACUAGGAACUAGGAAACAGACUAGGAACUAGGAACCAGGCAGCAGACUAGGAACUAGGAACUAGGAAACAGACUAGGAACUAGGAACUAGUCACCAGGCAACAGACUAGGAACUAGGCAACAGACUAGGAACUAGGAACUAGGCAGCAGACUAGGAACUAGGAACUAGGCAGCAGUGUAGGAACCAGGCAGCUAAGCAUCAUUCGAUCAGUGUGUUAAGGCUACAAUACUUAGGGAAUAGGAACAUGUUGAACACUGAAUAGUCAAGGUACAGUCAAUUUUCUAUGACGCAAUAUGAAUGUCAUUGAUCCGUUUUCACCAGUACUAAUGGUGUAACUGAUAAGCUUCUUCCAAUAAACAUUGAUGAUUGGGAUGGUCAAAGUUAGCUGAUUAGGUUAAAUCAACAUUCAUUAUCUUGUCACACAGUAACCUCUUUCAUCCCAAAACAUCAACAGUCCUCAACACUCCAAAGGUUAUAUUCUAGGCACCUGUAACGUCCGUCGUUAUGAGUAGACCAAGGCGCAGCGUGAGCUGGGUUCAUCAUAUUUAUUUUAAAGGUGAACCAGCAAAAAAACAAAACAAUACAACAACACAACAAACUAAAAAGUCUCGCAGGCUACUAACACCUACACAGAAACUAGAUCCCACACAGAAGGAGUAGGAGAAAAAAAGGGCUGCCUAAGUAUGAUUCCCAAUCAGAGACAACGAUAGACAGCUGCCUCCGAUUGGAAACCAUACUAGGCCAAUCAAAGAAAAGAAGAAAAAAAAAAACAUAGAAAUAUAACACAUAGAAUGCCCACCCCCAUAUCACACCCUGACCUAACCAAACAGAGAAAUAAACCGUCUCUCUCAGGUCAGGGCGUGACAGCGCCACAUUUGACCAGGCCUUAAUUGAAAAACAAAUGACCAUAAAGCCUUUAAGAAGUGUCGCACUGAGCAUUUCCUGAUUGCUUACCACUGAAAUAAAGUUCAUAUGAAAAAACCCAUAGUGUUUCCCUUGGGUCUUGAUUUGCAUGUUGGUCUCAUUUGAAAUUCAUGAUUAAUCCACACUGAUUGAUCCACAUUCCUCAUUGCAAUAAAUAUUUGAUUCUGUCACAUUAGAUUUUCGUUAUUUUUCAUCUACCCCUCUCUCUCUCUCUCUCUCUCUCUCUCUCUCUCUCUCUCUCUCUCUCUGUUGAGAACAUCAAAAAGGUGCACCAAGCUGAGGAUGGGGGUUUGGAGAUGAGUACAGAGGGG
rnacentral:lncRNA from 1 species